rnacentral:rRNA from 1 species
GACGAACGCUGGCGACGUGCUUAACACAUGCAAGUCGAACGAAGUAGCGAACGGGUGAGUAACGCGUAAUCAACCUGCCCUUCAGAGGGGGACAACAGUUGGAAACGACUGCUAAUACCGCAUACGGAAGGAGGGGCUUGCGUCUGAUUAGCGAGUUGGAGGGGUAACGGCCCACCAAGGCGAUGUGCAGUAGCCGGUCUGAGAGGAUGAACGGCCAAAAUGGGACUGAGACACGGCCCAGACUCAUACGGGAGGCAGCAGUGGGGAAUCUUCCGCAAUGGACGAAAGUCUGACGGAGCAACGCCGCGUGAGUGAUGACGGCCUUCGGGUUGUAAAGCUCUGUUAAUCGGGACGCGGUACCUGAAUAGAAAGCCACGGCUAACUACGUGCCAGCCGCCGCGGUAAUUC